ACCAAAUGAUGUAGAUGUUAACAACUACAGGUCCUUGUAGAAGGCACCAGUCUCCACCAGACCAAAUGAUGUAGAUGUUAACAACUACAGGUCCUUGUAGAAGGCACCAGUCUCCACCAGACCAAAUGAUGUAGAUGUUAACAACUACAGGUCCUUGUAGAAGGCACCAGUCUCCACCAGACCAAAUGAUGUAGAUGUUGACAACUACAGGUCCUUGUAGAAGGCACCAGUCUCCACCAGACCAAAUGAUGUAGAUGUUAACAACUAAAGGUCCUUGUAGAAGGCACCAGUCUCCACCAGACCAAAUGAUGUAGAUGUUAACAACUAAAGGUCCUUGUAGAAGGCACCAGUCUCCGUCAGACCAAAUGAUGUAGAUGUUAACAACUACAGGUCCUUGUAGAAGGCACCAGUCUCCACCAGACCAAAUGAUGUAGAUGUUGACAACUACAGGUCCUUGUAGAAGGCACCAGUCUCCAUCAGACCAAAUGAUGUAGAUGUUAACAACUACAGGUCCUUGUAGAAGGCACCAGUCUCCACCAGACCAAAUGAUGUAGAUGUUGACAACUAC